ACUUACACCCAAAACGCCCGGGAACUACGAGCUUUAGCUUAAAACCCAAAGGACUUGACGGUGUCCCACCCAACUAGAGGAGCCUGUCCUAUAAUCGAUGGUCCCCGAUUCACCCAACCUUUCCUUGCUCGUCAGCCUGUAUACCUCCGUCGCAAACUUACCGUAUGAAUGAUAUACAGUCUAGUUCAAUGAUCAUUUCACCCACACGUCAGGUCAAGGUGCAGCCUAUGGAAAGGUAGAGAUGGGCUACAAUUUCUAACCUAGAAUAAACGAAAUACUGUAUGAAACACAGGCAUGAAGGAGGAUUUAGUAGUAAAGAGAAACCAAUGAGUUCUCUUUAACCCGGCCCUGGGACACGU
rnacentral:rRNA from 1 species